GAUCUCGGUAAGCUAAGCAGGGUCGGGCCUGGUUAGUACUUGGAUGGGUGACCGCCUGGGAAUACCAGGUGCUGUAAGCA
rnacentral:rRNA from 10 species